GUGAAAAUCCCUCUCUCAAAACCAUCUCUAGAUAUCUAGCCUGAGUUUCUUUAUCAAGAUUCUUGCUGAUAUCAACUUCUGUAAGCCAUAUAGGAAGUUUAAGUGUAGCCAAUUUGUCUAACACUGCUCUGAUAAGUGGAGGAUUUGGUACUGUAAAAUGUCCUUCUAGGCCAAUUCCAUCCAUGAAUAUUCCACCUUGUUUUAAAUCUCUCAACUU
rnacentral:misc_RNA from 1 species